UCCCAGCAAUUUCCCGAGAAUGUUUUCUCAUUCCCUAUGGGGCAUAGGGAAUGGGAAAACAUUCUAGGGAAAUUCUUGG
rnacentral:pre_miRNA from 1 species